GAUUAACGCUAGCGGCAGGCCUAAUACAUGCAAGUCGAACGGCAGCACGGAUAGCAAUAUCUGGUGGCGAGUGGCGCACGGGUGCGUAACACGUAUGCAAUCUACCCUUAACUGGGGGAUAGCCCCGAGAAAUCGGGAUUAAUACCCCAUAACAUUGCGAUGAGGCAUCUCAUUGCAAUUAAAGCUCCGGCGGUCUUGGUUGAGCAUGCGCGACAUUAGUUAGUUGGUGCGGUAACGGCUCACAAAGACUUCGAUGUGUAGGGGUUCUGAGAGGAUUCACCCCCACACUGGUACUGAGACACGGACCAGACUCCUACGGGAGGCAGCAGUAAGGAAUAUCGGUCAAUGGGCGCAAGCCUGAACCAGCCAUGCCGCGUGAAGGAUGACGGCCCUACGGGUUGUAAACUUCUUUUGUACGGGAAAAAACCACCGGUCGUGAACCGGUGCUGAUGGUACCGUAAGAAUAAGCAUCGGCUAACUCCGUGCCAGCCGCCGCGGUAAUAC
rnacentral:rRNA from 1 species